UACGUAGGGUGCUAGCGUUAUCCGGAAUCACUGGGCGUAAAGGGAGCGUAGGCGGUGUGGCAAGUCCGAUGUGAAAUCUCCGGGCUUAACCCGGAGCGGUCAUCGGAAACUGCCGUGCUAGAGUGUGGGAGAGGAGAGUGGAAUCCCCGGUGUAGCGGUGAAAUGCGUAGAUAUCGGGGGGAACACCAGCGGCGAAGGCGGCUCUCUGGACCACAACUGACGCUGAGGCUCGAAAGCUAGGGGAGCAAACAG
rnacentral:rRNA from 1 species